CAAUUAUUUACGUUUUUUUUUAAUCAAUAUAUGUAAAAAACAUCAUGAUUGCUUUCAGAAUCUGUUCAAUGUAAGUCAGCAGGUUAAUCCAAUGUUCACGAAAUCUGCAGGAUCUAUAAUAUGUUUCGAGGGAUGGAGCAAUAACCUUGACCACAUAAAAUACCUCUGUUAUAUAUUUUUAGUGGUUGCAGGUCAAUGAACGUGUGGAAUAUUAUAAACGACGAACCUCCAAAAUAAUGGUAAAGACUGGCCUUUAUUCUGAUCGACUAAAGAGUUGCAAACUAUGUAAACCAACUGUAAAAUCGAUCUUCCCGUCUAUCGUUUGUGCGCAAAAUAUUGUUUUUGUUCUGUAAUCAAUUUGAACGAUAUACAAAUCAAUGCUGGAACAGUUAAAAGACAGCUCGAAGAGCGCAUUAGAAACCAACACUGACAAGGGAAGUUUGGGAAAUUCAAAAAAAUAUGAAUAACUCCAUGUAUAAGUAGAAUAAGUCAUCCAUAACACAUACCUAUCUUCCGUUCGUAUCAUAAUUCACUUUUAAGUGGUGAUAUUGAAAAAAAGUUUAAAUCAAAGUUGGAUGUUAUUUUUAUGUUUACAAGAAUGUGUAAACAAUGUUUUGAAAAAGUCGAUACUUUCUGAGUUACCCCUUGCACCACCCCUUAAAUUUCAUUUUUUGAUGAUUUUAAAUUCAGGUUGAAAUGCUUUUCGGUACCCACUAUCAAUUCUUGUAAAUAUUUUAUUUUAUACAUACUUUUUAUAAAUAAAUAAAGCGUCUAUAUUAUCGAAUUUAAA